AACGAACGCUGGCGGCGCGUCUUAAACAUGCAAGUCGAACGGCAGGAAGGGGCUUGCCCCUUCUGAGAGUGGCGGACUGGUGAGUAACACGUGGGUGACAUACCUUUUAGUUGGGGAUAGCUAUUAGAAAUAGUAGGUAAUACCGAAUGUGACCGUACCUGUUAGAGGGGUACGAGGAAAGGAGCUAAGGCUUCGCUAAAAGAAUGGCUCGCGGCCCAUUAUGCUCGUUGGUGAGGUAACGGCCCACCAAGGCGAUGAUGGGUAUCCGGCCUGAGAGGGUGAACGGACACAUUGGGACUGAGCUACGGCCCAGACUUCUACGGGAGGCAGCAGUUAAGAAUAUUCCGCAAUGGACGAAAGUCUGACGGAGCGACGCCGCGUGGAUGAAGAAUGCCGAAAGGUUGUAAAAUCCUUUUAAGCCUGAUGAAUAAGCACAGUAGGGAAUGAUUGUGCGGUGACCGUAGGGCUUGAAUAAGCACCGGCUAAUUACGU
rnacentral:rRNA from 1 species